rnacentral:rRNA from 1 species
UACGUAGGGUGCAAGCGUUGUCCGGAAUUAUUGGGCGUAAAGAGCUCGUAGGCGGUUUGUCGCGUCGAAUGUGAAAACCCGGGGCUCAACCCCGGGCCUGCAUUCGAUACGGGCAGACUAGAGUUCGGUAGGGGAGUCUGGAAUUCCUGGUGUAGCGGUGAAAUGCGCAGAUAUCAGGAGGAACACCGGUGGCGAAGGCGGGACUCUGGGCCGAUACUGACGCUGAGGCGCGAAAGCUAGGGGAGCAAACAGG